rnacentral:lncRNA from 1 species
GAAAAGAAAAAACACCUGUGAAGACAGGUUCACGUUGAACCAUAUUGUCUUAUUGAGUGCACCGCAGUCAAUUUUGUUUCAAAUAUAAAAUUUAUAGGAACUAAUGAAGAGAUUACAACGUGCACUCAUUUUACAUUUAUUUGUUGUUCGUCGAAAUUUUAAAGAGAAUGUGAUUGUUUAUAAAACGGCACCAUCUGAUAAUCCAUCCUUUUUAUCGGUUGUUUUCCUGGAAGGUCGUGUCACCUCUUUGUUUCGUUUAUUUGUGUAUUGAUGUCACUUGUGUUGUUUUAUUCUUUUUAUUAAUGGAACAUAUUUUUGUCUCUCAAUUUCCAUUUUCAAAAAUAACCCGUCUCUCUUACAGAUACAACGAUCACUGCGACAAAAGUGCGAAUCGAACACACGGGUGAUUUGUUUAACAGAUAACAUGCAGUAACGUUUUCUUAAUUCUGCUAAAAUUCCAAUAUCUAUCGUCGUUCAUAAGCGAAAUGUUGCAUUAUAUUCAUAUUCAAGCAAAAAUAUCAGACUUAAAAACAACAACUUGCAUUGUAAAUCAACGCAGAAACUUGAAAAUUGAAAAAAAAAACAAACAAAAAAAACUAUUGUAGUCCCUUAGUUCAUGAAGUAAGUUCUAGAUUUGCACUUUUACACAGGGAGAAGGUUAAAUUGUUUAUGGUCCUUGUAUUGCGGUGUUAUCUAUCAAACGUUAGAAACAUAACUUUAUUGGGUUUUUUUAAGUGUAGAUGAAAAUGAUGUUUGAAGAAUAAGACCAACUCC